CCGAGAAUAUUCGACAAUGGGCGAAAGCCUGAUCGAGCGAUACCGCGUGGUGGAUGAAGUGCUUCGGCACGUAAACAUCUUUUAUGAGGGAGGAAGUUAUUGACGUUACCUCAUGAAUAAGGGGCUCCUAACUCUGUGCCAGCAGGAGCGGUAAUACAGAGGCCCCGAGCGUUACCCGGAAUUACUGGGCGUAAAGAGUGCGUAGGUGGUUGUGUUAGUCGUCUGUUAAAUGCUCCGGGCUCAACCUGGAGAAUCCGGGCGAAACGGCACAACUCGAGGGCGUGAGAGGUACAUGGAACUCUAGGUGUAGGGGUGAAAUCCGUUGAUAUCUAGGGGAACACCGAAAGCGAAGGCAAUGUACUGGCGCGUUCCUGACACUCAAGCACGAAAGCGUGGGUAGCGAACGGGAUUAGAUACCCCCGUAGUCC
rnacentral:rRNA from 1 species